rnacentral:rRNA from 1 species
UACGGAGGGGGCUAGCGUUAUUCGGAAUUACUGGGCGUAAAGCGCACGUAGGCGGCUUUGUAAGUCAGAGGUGAAAGCCUGGAGCUCAAUUCCAGAACUGCCUUUGAGACUGCAUCGCUUGAAUCCAGGAGAGGUGAGUGGAAUUCCGAGUGUAGAGGUGAAAUUCGUAGAUAUUGGGAAGAACACCGGUGGCGAAGGCGGCUCUCUGGACCGAUACUGACGCUGAGGCGCGAAAGCGUGGGGAGCAAACAGG